GAUGAACGCUGGCGGCGUGCCUAAUACAUGCAAGUCGAGCGAGCAGACGAGGAGCUUGCUCCUCUGACGUUAGCGGCGGACGGGUGAGUAACACGUGGAUAACCUACCUAUAAGACUGGGAUAACUUCGGGAAACCGGAGCUAAUACCGGAUAAUAUAUUGAACCGCAUGGUUCAAUAGUGAAAGACGGUUUUGCUGUCACUUAUAGAUGGAUCCGCGCCGCAUUAGCUAGUUGGUAAGGUAACGGCUUACCAAGGCAACGAUGCGUAGACGACCUGAGAGGGUGAUCGGCCACACUGGAACUGAGACACGGUCCAGACGCCUACGGGAGGCAGCAGUAGGGAAUCUUCCGCAAUGGGCGAAAGCUUGACGGAGCAACGCCGCGUGAGUGAUGAAGGUCUUCGGAUCGUAAAGCUCUGUUAUUAGGGAAGAACAAAUGUGUAAGUAACUAUGCACGUCUUGACGGUACCUAAUCAGAAAGCCACGGCUAACUACGUG
rnacentral:rRNA from 1 species